rnacentral:lncRNA from 1 species
AGACUGAGAAAGUAGAUCAAAAAAUGGCCGAUGUGAUCUGAAAGAGCAUUCAUGAUUCAGAUAAUAAUCUAUUGCCACAUGUUCGGAUAGUGAGAUUACAUAACAUGUACUAAUAAUAUAUAUCACUGUACUUUUUUAUGAAGAGAAGUUUAUAUCACCAUAGAAAUACUAUAUUUAUUGGAAUAUCAAUGUCUUAAAUUACUCUCUAUCUCA